AGAGUUUGAUCCUGGCUCAGGAUGAACGCUGGCGGCGUGCUUAACACAUGCAAGUCGAAUGAACCUUCGGGUUAGUGGCGGACGGGUGAGUAACGCGUGAGAAUCUGCCCUCAGGAGGGGGAUAACAGUUGGAAACGACUGCUAAUACCCCAUAUGCCGAGAGGUGAAAUGAAUUUCGCCUGGGGAUGAGCUCGCGUCUGAUUAGCUUGUUGGUGGGGUAAUAGCCUACCAAGGCUUCGAUCAGUAGCUGGUCUGAGAGGACGAUCAGCCACACUGGGACUGAGACACGGCCCAGACUCCUACGGGAGGCAGCAGUGGGGAAUUUUCCGCAAUGGGCGAAAGCCUGACGGAGCAACGCCGCGUAAGGGAUGGAGGCCUUUGGGCUGUAAACCUCUUUUCUCAAGGAAGAAGAUCUGACGGUACUUGAGGAAUAAGCCACGGCUAAUUCCGUGCCAGCAGCCGCGGUAAUACGGGAGUGGCAAGCGUUAUCCGGAAUUAUUGGGCGUAAAGCGUCCGCAGGCGGCCGUUUAAGUCUGUUGUUAAAUCGUGGAGCUCAACUCCAUCACGGCAAUGGAAACUGUUCGGCUUGAGUAUGGUAGGGGCAGAGGGAAUUUCCGGUGUAGCGGUGAAAUGCGUAGAUAUCGGGAAGAACACCAGUGGCGAAAGCGCUCUGCUGGGCCAUUACUGACGCUCAUGGACGAAAGCCAGGGGAGCGAAAGGGAUUAGAUACCCCUGUAGUCCUGGCCGUAAACGAUGAACACUAGAUGUUGGGGGAAUCGACCCCCUCGGUGUCGUAGCUAACGCGUUAAGUGUUCCGCCUGGGGAGUACGCACGCAAGUGUGAAACUCAAAGGAAUUGACGGGGGCCUGCACAAGCGGUGGAGUAUGUGGUUUAAUUCGAUGCAACGCGAAGAACCUUACCAAGGCUUGACAUCCUGCGAAUCUCUAAGAAAUUAGAGAGUGCCUUCGGGAACGCAGUGACAGGUGGUGCAUGGCUGUCGUCAGCUCGUGUCGUGAGAUGUUGGGUUAAGUCCCGCAACGAGCGCAACCCACGUUUUUAGUUGCCAGCAUUCAGUUGGGCACUCUAGAAAGACUGCCGGUGACAAACCGGAGGAAGGUGUGGACGACGUCAAGUCAUCAUGCCCCUUACGCCUUGGGCUACACACGUACUACAAUGCUGCGGACAAAGAGUAGCGAUCUUGCGAAAGUUAGCUAAUCUCAUAAACCGUGGCUCAGUUCAGAUCGUAGGCUGCAACUCGCCUACGUGAAGGAGGAAUCGCUAGUAAUCGCAGGUCAGCAUGCUGCGGUGAAUACGUUCCCGGGCCUUGUACACACCGCCCGUCACACCAUGGAAGUUGGCCAUGCCCGAAGUCGUUACUCUAACCUUUUGGAAGAGGGCGCCGAAGGCAGGGCUAAUGACUGGGGUGAAGUCGUAACAAGGUAACC
rnacentral:rRNA from 1 species